UGCAGUCGACGAGAUUAAGAGGCUUGCUUCUUAUGAAAGUGGCGCACGGGUGCGUAACGCGUAUGCAACCUACCUUAAUCAGGGGGAUAGCCCGAAGAAAUUCGGAUUAAGACCGCAUAAAAACACAGGAUAGCAUUAUCCAAUGUUCAAAUAUUUAUAGGAUUAAGAUGGGCAUGCGUGUCAUUAGCUAGUUGGCGGGGUAACGGCCCACCAAGGCGACGAUGACUAGGGGAUCUGAGAGGAUGACCCCCCACACUGGUACUGAGACACGGACCAGACUCCUACGGGAGGCAGCAGUAAGGAAUAUUGGUCAAUGGAGGGAACUCUGAACCAGCCAUGCCGCGUGCAGGAAGACAGCCCUCUGGGUCGUAAACUGCUUUUAUUCGGGAAUAAACCUUUCUACGUGUAGGAAGCUGAAUGUACCGAAGGAAUAAGGAUCGGCUAACUCCGUGCCAGCAGCCGCGGUAAUACGGAGGAUCCAAGCGUUAUCCGGAUUUAUUGGGUUUAAAGGGUGCGUAGGCGGCUUAUUAAGUCAGGGGUGAAAGACGGUGGCUCAACCAUCGCAGUGCCCUUGAUACUGAUGAGCUUGAAUACACUAGAGGUAGGCGGAAUGUGACAAGUAGCGGUGAAAUGCAUAGAUAUGUCACAGAACACCGAUUGCGAAGGCAGCUUACUAUGGUGUUAUUGACGCUGAGGCACGAAAGCGUGGGGAUCAAACAGGAUUAGAUACCCUGGUAGUCCACGCCCUAAACGAUGAAUACUCGCUGUUAGCGAUAUACAGUUAGCGGCUAAGCGAAAGCGUUAAGUAUUCCACCUGGGGAGUACGCCCGCAAGGGUGAAACUCAAAGGAAUUGACGGGGGCCCGCACAAGCGGAGGAGCAUGUGGUUUAAUUCGAUGAUACGCGAGGAACCUUACCCGGGCUUGAAAGUUAGUGAAUGAUCUAGAGAUAGAUCAGUGAGCAAUCACACGAAACUAGGUGCUGCAUGGCUGUCGUCAGCUCGUGCCGUGAGGUGUUGGGUUAAGUCCCGCAACGAGCGCAACCCCUAUGUUUAGUUGCCAGCACGUUAAGGUGGGGACUCUAAACAGACUGCCUGUGCAAACAGAGAGGAAGGAGGGGACGACGUCAAGUCAUCAUGGCCCUUACGUCCGGGGCUACACACGUGCUACAAUGGAUGGUACAGAGGGCAGCAAGCUGGCAACAGCAAGCGAAUCUCAAAAAGCCAUUCACAGUUCGGAUAGAGGUCUGCAACUCGACCUCUUGAAGUUGGAUUCGCUAGUAAUCGCGUAUCAGCAAUGACGCGGUGAAUACGUUCCCGGGCCUUGUACACACCGCCCGUCAAGCCAUGGAAGUUGGGGGUACCUAAAGUAUGUAACCGUAAGGAGCGUCCUAGGG
rnacentral:rRNA from 1 species